UCAGAUGCUCUGCACGCUGGUGCUAGAAAACCCCGCCAGAUCGGGAACGAAGCAACGGUAUUUAGUUUCUGGUGGUGACAGGGAUUAUCUGAGCUUU
rnacentral:SRP_RNA from 1 species